UACGUAGGUGGCGAGCGUUGUCCGGAUUUACUGGGCGUAAAGAGAGCGUAGGCGGACUUUUAAGUGAGAUGUGAAAUACUCGGGCUCAACUUGAGUGCUGCAUUUCAAACUGGAAGUCUAGAGUGCAGGAGAGGAGAAUGGAAUUCCUAGUGUAGCGGUGAAAUGCGUAGAGAUUAGGAAGAACACCAGUGGCGAAGGCGAUUCUCUGGACUGUAACUGACGCUGAGGCUCGAAAGCGUGGGGAGCAAACAGG
rnacentral:rRNA from 1 species